AAUAAGAUGCCUGAUUAAAGGAUUAUCGUGAUAGGAUAAAUCAAGUAUUUCAACAUACUCUUAUUA
rnacentral:tRNA from 1 species